GGAGGAGGAGGAGCAGCGGGGCUGGGCGGAGACGCUGGCGGGCUCCGCGCACUGCACCCCAGCCAAUCAAUGUUUAGAUCUGGCGUGACGCGCGCUUCUCGUUUGCCCCUCCUCCCCUGCCGGGAGCCGCCCUCUCUUGGAAGCCACGCCCACCUCCUGCUUUGCUGCAAGGCUCUGGCACAUCCCGCGCGGUCCUAAUGCUUGAUGGUUCCAUCAGACUGUGGACGUGGGUUUGGGACUUUCGGACCACGGCGAGGAUAAGGCUGAGUUGAACCCUAAAUCAGCUUCCGUGAUAAAACUGAGAGAUAGGGAAUUACUCAGUACAUUUUAUACUGACAGAUGAGUGCCUAGUGCCCUCAAAGACCAGAAGAACAGGGCAUGGAAUCCUCUGGAACUGGAGUUACAAAUGUUUGUGAACAGUCACAUGGCUACUGGGAAUCAGUCUCUGGUCUUUUGGAAGAAAACACCCUGUCCUCUUAAAUCCCUGAGCCAUCUCUCCAGCUCCUGUUUUAUUUUCUAUUCCUAAAUAUGUUUUGAACUUCAGAGAAAAUGCUUUCUGAGUCUGUUCACAUGAUGGUGUGCGUUUUAAACGCUAUUUUAUUAAAUGGUGUAUUGUGUUGCGACA